CACGUAGGCACCAAGCGUUGUCCGGAUUUAUUGGGCGUAAAGAGCUCGUAGGCGGUUCGGUAAGUCGGGUGUGAAAACUCUGGGCUCAACCCAGAGCCGCCACCCGAUACUGCUGUGACUUGAGUUCGGUAGGGGAGCGGGGAAUUCCUGGUGUAGCGGUGAAAUGCGCAGAUAUCAGGAAGAACACCCGUGGCGAAAGCGGCUCUCUGGAACGGUACUGACGCUGAGACGCGAAAGCGUGGGGAGCGAACAGG
rnacentral:rRNA from 1 species